CAGGUUAUUCUGAAAGAGUCUGGCCCUGGAAUAUUGCAGCCGUCCCAGACCCUAAGUCUGACUUGUUCUUUCUCUGGGUUUUCAUUUAGGACUUAAGGUAUGGCAGUGAGCUGGAUGCGUCAGCCUUUAGGGAAGGGUUUGGAGUGGCUGGCACAAAUUGGGUCAGAUGAUAGUAAGCUCUAUAACCCAUCUCUGAAGAGUCGAACCACAAUCUCCAAGGAUACCUCCAACAACCAUGUUUUCCUCAAGAUCACCAGUGAGGACACUGAAGAUUCUGCCACAUACUACUGUGCU